ACAUACAUAGCCAUCAAACUUUAACAAAAGAAGUUUAGACCAAAUAAAUAUCAUAACCAAGAUUUAUCACGCUCAUAUACAGGUUAAGGUUUUAAAACAUUCUACAACACGUCAAAAGUGAUAAGAGAAAUAAAGUGUUGCAGCGGAGUACAUCAUUGGACAUUAUGUAUGAAGACACAACAUCCUGAGCCUAUUACUAUUUACAUAAACAAAAAGCUCCAGCUCAGCACACUUCCAUCUUCAUCCAAACUUAACCUGCACAUUUAAAAAGAUAUGCAGGGCUGAGUACCACAAGCACUCAGUGAACAAAUGCCGAAAAUAUUUAAAACUCUGCAUGAUAAUGCUAUAUAUAUAUUGAACUUGCCACUUUAAGCAAUACACAAGUGAUUUCUAAAGCAACCUGUCUUUGCUAAACUGUUUUUACAUAGUAUCUGAAAGUGUCUGCGCAGACUAAGUUCUCAUAUAAGUAUGUACCAUAUCUACUAGUCUCAAUAAACACGUUGAGAAGUAGGCCUCCUUCCCAAACGUAACGACAAGCUAACUCAAGGUUAACCGUCACUCUGUGUACACAAAUCCUGACUCGCUCAGGACCCGAAUUCGUUCUUCUAUGUAGAUGGUAUCAUACAAAUCUUAAAUAUUGGCAAGUCAACAAUUUGAAAAUAAAUGCAUACACUUAAACUUUAUAUAAUAAAGUAUGCAUCAUUGUUUCUUGAGUUAGUAAGCCCACCUGAUAUGUUUCUCUUACUUCGUACUCUAGUGUCGGGCUCGUUCCUAGCCGGAACCUUUAAAUAGAUAAAGAUUUUUUUGUAAGAAAAAUAAGUAAGAAAAUAUAUAUAUAUAUAUA
rnacentral:lncRNA from 1 species